rnacentral:tRNA from 1 species
AAGAAAUUAGUUAAAUUUUAUAACAUAUGCUUGUCAUGCAUAUAUUAUCUCCAUCAGAUAUUUCUUG